GUGAAGAACGUAGCGAAAUGCGAUACGUAAUGUGAAUUGCAGAAUUCAGUGAAUCAUCGAAUCUUUGAACGCAUAUUGCGCUCUCUGGUAUUCCGGAGAGCAUGCUUGUUUGAGUAUCAGUAAACACCUCAACUUCCAUAUCUUUUUUGAAAUGGGAGUUGGACUUGAGUGAUCCCAACGCUUUUCCUCACCGAAAAGUGGCGGGUUACUUGAAAUGCAGGUGCAGCUGGACUUUUCUCUGAGCUAUAAGCAUAUCUAUUUAGUCUGCCUAAAAAACAGAUUAUUACCUUUGCUGCAGCUAACAUAAAGGAGAUUAGUUCUUGUGCUGACUGAUGCAGGAUUCACAAAGACAGCUUCGGCCGACUUUGUAAACUCGAUCUCAAAUCAAGUAAGACUACCCGCUGAACUUAAGCAUAUCAAUAAGCGGAGGA
rnacentral:misc_RNA from 1 species